CUUUCAGUACUCUGGGGGCUGUAAGCCUGUAUUCGUACAGUGGGCCUCCGUCUGAAACCCUUGUCUUUUGCGUACCUAAUGUUUCCUCGGCGGGCUUGCCCGCCGUUUGGACAACUUUAAACCUUUUUAAUUUCAAUCAGCGUCUGAAUAAAUUUAAAUAUUUA
rnacentral:misc_RNA from 1 species